rnacentral:rRNA from 1 species
AUGGCUAGAGAUUUAUUACCGCAAUGGGAUGGUGUGGUGGACGAAGACAUGGGACAGGGGAGGCAAAGCCGUUGCGUCCGUCCAGAUGCACGUGGACCACCACAGGACGGUCUGGCUGGAUCUGGUUGGAGCAAGCGGCGGAGACCUUCAAGUGCAGCCACCGGCGGCGGCAACCGCCUCACGCCCCUCCUCCUUGAGAUGAUGUACAGGGAAUCAACUACGGCCGGAUCUAGAGCGUCGGCAGGUGGGGAGGCCGCGGCAGUCGUGGCACCAAUGGAGACCCAUGGCGUGGCGUCCUUGUAA